AUACGGAGGGUGCGAGCGUUAAUCGGAAUUACUGGGCGUAAAGCGUGCGUAGGCGGUUUGAUAAGUCAGAUGUGAAAGCCCUGGGCUCAACCUGGGAACUGCAUUUGAAACUGGCGGGCUAGAAUAUGGAAGAGGGAAGUGGAAUUCCGGGUGUAGCGGUGAAAUGCGUAGAUAUCCGGAGGAACACCAGUGGCGAAGGCGGCUUCCUGGACCAAUAUUGACGCUGAGGUACGAAAGCGUGGGUAGCAAACAGGAUUAGAAACCCUAGUAGUCC
rnacentral:rRNA from 1 species